UAUGGCCAUACACAAUAAAUGCGCUAUAUAAAUACACAUUACAUUAUAUUACAUGUAUAAAAUGACAUAGGCGGGUAUAGAAAGUUUGGGCGGUUUUGCAACAGAACGUCCGCCCCCCCCUCUACUGUGUUGUCCAGACUAUCACAACCCAUGCUGGAAUCAGUCAGCUACAUCUGGCAACACUGUCAAGCAAAUACACUGCCAUCCAGUGUUACAAUGAUGACUUUUCAGACUCCCCAUCACUGUAUUUUCAAAAAAAUAACCAGGGAAUAUUAAGUGUUACUGGAGAUUUGUAGAGACUCUCAUGUAUCUGUGUUAUUCUUAACGUUACUCUUCACAACAAGGUGCGGGUGAUGCCGUCAAUCUUUUCCCCGCCUCGGAGCACUCAAGAUGGCAUAGUGCCACACAGCCGUCAACAAAAGCAUUGAGAGCAGGUCAAUCUUAAUGUAAAGAUGUUCUAAAUGAAUAGGGCAUAGGGUUGAUAAUGGGGAAUAGAACACAACCAGGAACUAUGCUUAUACAGCUCUAGAGGUGUAGUUGCAGACGUACAGGUUUGUGAAUGUUCAUUGGAACGACGAUUUUGGAAACGGCAAAUCAACGAACUAUGUUUGUAACGACGAAACUUGCGACUUUAGUUAGCUAACAAAUGUUUUUGGAAACCCACCCCUGUUCUUUUAUUUACUUACAAUGGAAAACUAGUAUAUUUGAUACAAUGCUUAUAUUGACAUUUAUAAAUGGGUGGGACAUGUAAAUACAGAUACUGUCAAUAGCAUGUUCUGAGAUGAAACUAAUGAUUUUUGGUGAUAAAAAGGGUUGUGGGAGGAAUUUAAUUAUUAUAAGCUAUUUGCGUCAAUGCUAACACAAAUACAUAUUCAAACAUGUAGCAAAAAUCUAAGUCAUUUUUUCAGUAUAGGUCCCCUUUAAAUAGACUCCUACAAUACACGUACAUUCAUCCAACAUUCAAACAACAGUUUAAUUUUCUUACCUGUGUGUGUGUGUGUGUGUGCGUGCGUGUGUGCGUGCGUGCGUGCGUGCGUGCGUGAGUGCGUGAGUGCGUGCGUGCGUGCGUGCGUGCGUGUGUGUGUGUGCGUGUGCGGGUGCGUGUGUGUGUGCGUGCGCACCCGUGUGUGUGUGUGUGUAUAUUUAUAGACACAGACGCUGGACUCCCUUGAGCAGGAUCAUGUGGUUUUGCUGGACUGAACUCCAGACAUAGGAACAUCUGCUCUACUUCUUCUCAGACUGAGGCCAAAUCUCCAACCUGAGCAGACUGAACGCGGCGGGUCAGCAUGAGUAAUGCACACACGGGAGUUCAUUCUAUCCCAUUUAUGACCAGGACCCUCUCAGAUGUCCCUAUCAAAAAAAGAUGUGCGUUACCUCCAUAAGUGAGCAAGAGGGAAUAGAUGUUGUAUGAUGAGAAUGAGAUCGAUAUCAAAUGCUACAACAACGCAUUUCAACCCUGCUUCAGUGCAACAACUUUAUAUUGUGAGUUCUGCACUAUAAGGUUUCUUUGAAGUCUCCACAUUUUGGAAAGCAGCAGUUCUCACUUGGUUUUGCUUCACAACCCUUGUACGUAUGAUGUCAAGCGCUGACCAGAUGAUCUAGGCCCUACUCAUCAAACUCUGGCGGAAGUGUUCAGUGAGACGGAGCCCAAUUCUGCCAAGGUACAUCAGUAUACUAGACCUGUCAGGAGGCUGCAUGCAGGAGACUUCUUGCAUGACCUGCAGCUCACUCGAUUGUCACAUCCUGUAUUGGCCUUCGGGGUGAAGAGCUGUGAUUGGCCGAGGCGGGUAUUGCCAGGCUGUCACAUGCUCCUGUGUGGGGAGUGUGAAUGGGCCUCGGGCUAGAAGAGGACCUGCAUGAAAACAGGAUGACAAGUGCCAUACCAUCCUGUGAGAUGUGCCAAGACAGAAUGAGCAUCUGUCAAAACACGUCGGUCCCAGCGGACGCUUCGCUGAUGGACGCAGACAUGCAGGAGAGAAAAAGAUAGACGGAAAGAGAGAGAGAGAGAGACGGACAGGAGAACGGCUGAAAAGAGAUGAUUUGGUUGGGUGGGGUCUGGUCUUCACCUGCUGCGCCCACCAGCAUCCUUGAACCUGCUUCACCUCCAUCACUGCGAGGGGUCGACACAAAGAUUAAAAGAUAAAUACGCCACCAUCUGGAAGCAACAGGCAUCCCCUGAUGCUGUGCCCUUGACAAGAUCACGGCAAGAAAAGUCUAUAAUCUAAAGUUGUGCAUGGCUUUUGUGACCCGCUGUUUACACUGCCGCUGAUUGAGCUGAUCGUAGCUGUCCCCGAGGCAGCGAGACUUAUCAUUCACCGCAGAGGACCCAAAAACUGACAGAAGUCUUUGGCUUUUUUUUUUUUUUUAGCCCCCAAGCAAAUUACAGCCAGGUCCGCUAGAUCCUGCUUCAUUAGACGUGCAGCUGUUGAGUAGAAAGGCAGCAGAAUGAGAGAGCGAGCCCAGGAGAGACUAGCAGACAUGUGACAGAUGAAGAGAGAGAGAAAGAGAGGGAGGAAAACUAACAAUGGCCUGUCAUUCUGAGCGGCUGCCAAGCGAUGCCCAUAAUUGAUUGCUCGUCCCAUUUUCAAAAGCUUUCUAGACACGGACACACACAUACACACACGCUGUUUGAACAUAGACUAUAGUAAUAGGGGAUGAAUCUGUGCAAAUCACAGACUCGCACACCGUGAAUUUGGGGAAUGGAAUAUUUAGGUUUAUAAAGGACAGCUCUGACUACAUUCUGAUUGGAUGGACCGUGUUAUGCGGGUAAAUUCACACCUGUGACUGCACAUUCUGUAUCAAAUCACCAAGUUGAGAUGUCGCUCGGCAACUGUAAACAGCUUGUGUAACUCUGAAAGAUGCUUUUGCUGAAGACUAGUUUAUUUUGAUAAUGGGUCGUUCCAAAGAAACCAGGGGUCCGUUUUUUGUACCUCACUUAAACAAUCUAUUGCAGAUCCUGGAUCUUUUAAUCUUGACAACUGAUCUCUGGCUAAUUUUGUUCUUUUAAAAGUAUGCAAAUCAGAUUAAAAUGUCUAGAUGAAUUCAUCUGAGAUUCCCAUGCUUGUUGUGAAGGACAGAUCUAUUUGAUCCUCGAAAUCUGGAUCAGAAAUUUAACGAUUGGCUAAAUGCAAGACAGCAGCAUAAUGACAUCAUCUGAUUAAGGGCGUACUCUCACUAUGUACAGUUGCCUUAAACCGUGCCGAAGCACGCUUGUCUCCCCUCCCUUUUCCCCCAAUGGCCUGCACUCACAGAGCACACUUGCGUCAUCGAUGAUGCGCUAUUCAGUUUAACAGAAGAAAAUCGAUCUCGCUCAGGACAUUGGAGGUUUCUUUAGUUCUAUCAUUUUAGUCGUUUGGGAUGCAGUGACAAGCAGUUAAAUGUUUCGGCGAACUGAUAAGUCACCUUUGACGCUCAUAAAUAAUCACUAAAGUCCUUGUGCUACAGGUAUUAGGAGGUUUGCAGAAGGUGUAGCUGUCAUGCAGUGAGGGGUUUGCGUCUUUAUUAAACUACGAUAGUUUGCGUUCAUUGAACAGUAAGAAUGAUUAAUACAUCUAUAUGAAGGGACUAUAUAAAAGGGAUGUCUCUUUUUCAGUUUCGGGCUUAGCUUUGCACUUGCACCACAAGUGUACCGCGCUAAAGCCUAAGAGAACAAAACAGGCCAUGGUCGGCAAACUGAACUGCGUGUGAGCACAAUUCAGAGCACCCACACUUCUUAAAUGAAAUGGCAAACACGCCCGGGCACGGUUUAGAUAGAAUAGUGUGAGUGCGCCCUAAUAUUCAAUUAUCAUCCAUGUAAGCAAAAUUACAUAAAAUUUGUAGUAACUUUCCAUAUUUGUUGUGGGCUCCAGACUUUUCACAUUUAUCUGACAAUAGUAUCGUAUUAGAAAUGUAUUUAGUUUGAUCUUUAUUAAUAUUCCACAAAAAACUUUGCAAUUUGCAAAUCUUAUUAUGUAUUUAAUUUUUUUUAU